UGUAGAAAUGUCCCCGCUGCUGGUUCUGUAGAGACACGCGGCGGGAAGGGUGCGUUUCAGUGCGGUAAUCGGUGCGGGAAACAAAAUGGAUGCCGAACCAAAGGCUUCAGCCAUGAUGGAGCUGCCGGCUGUAGACUCGGCCAGGUGCUUCAUUUCAUUCAGAAGCUCGUCCCCUCCCCGUCCUCCCGUCACCAGGUUGGAUGGAAGAACGUCCUGACUGGGACAGUUUGUACAGUUCAGCGCAUGAAAACAUCUUUGAAGAACAUCAGGCAGCAGCGCCGAAGACUUGCGGGUUAAAUCACAGCUUCAAUAAUUCAGUGAAGUUUAUCGAUGUUUAAAGGUGCAGUAUGUAAGACUUCCAAACUAAUGGCGGUUACUGUGGUGAUCUGCUGCCCCCUAACUGUGGCUGAUUCGAUGAGAUCAGUUUGUGUUGGAGCGACCCAAAUCUCCCACAAUUCUGGUCGGCCAUCUUAAAACAUCCUUUAAUAUCUGCAGUGAAGAGUCGUAACCAGAACCAUGGAUCAGGAUGUUUGGACUUACACCAAAUCACCAUCACACUGUUAAUGACUUGGUACUCUGUGAGAGGUUCAGUCAAGAGGUUUCUAAUUUUGGAAACUAAAUUCCAGCGUAGUUUCUGACCGAUUGAUUGAUUCGUUUUGUGAACAUGUCGUCAAACUAAACUUAAACUUCAUAAUCUGAGA